UACGUAGGGGGCAAGCGUUGUCCGGAAUCAUUGGGCGUAAAGCGCGUGUAGGCGGCCAGAUAAGUCCGCUGUGAAAUCUCGAGGCUCAACUUCGAGCUGUCGGUGGAAACUUUCUGGCUAGAGUCCGGAAGAGGAGAAUGGAAUUCCUGGUGUAGCGGUGAAAUGCGCAGAUAUCAGGAAGAACACCCGUGGCGAAGGCGGUUCUCUGGGACGGUACUGACGCUGAGACGCGAAAGCGUGGGGAGCGAACAGG
rnacentral:rRNA from 1 species